rnacentral:ribozyme from 1 species
UGCCCAGCAACUCCUAUCCCUACCUCCUCGUGGUACCGGCCGGAUACUACGAGUAACCUUAAAGCAGAUCGAGUAACCAACCCCGGUAGG